UAGGGAAUCUUCCACAAUGGGCGCAAGCCUGAUCCAGCAAUGCCGCGUGUGUGAAGAAGGUCUUCGGAUUGUAAAGCACUUUCGACGGGGACGAUGAUGACGGUACCCGUAGAAGAAGCCCCGGCUAACUUCGUGCAG
rnacentral:rRNA from 1 species